UGGAGGUCACGGUUUGUUUCCUGGUCAAGGCAGGUGCCUGAGUUGCAGCUUGAUUCCCAGGAGGGGACCUUCAGGAGGCAGCCAAUCCAUGAUAGAAACAUCAUUGAUCUUUCUAUUUCUCUCUCCCUUCCUCUCUCUGAAAUCAAUAAAAACACUUUUAAAAAGGAUGAGUACGAAAAGGCAGGUCCUAAAUUAAUAAACAUCUUUUUUAAUAAUUUAACACAUUGAAACUGAAAAAUGUUUAACACAUCAGCUCCUAGAGCAAUAUAGACUUCCCACGUGCUAAGUAAAGCAUUGGCACAAGGUGCCACUGAAUUAACUCAAUGGAGUCGGAGCCUAAAUGAUUCACCGAGUCCUGAUUCUGGUUGUGCCGUGGGCAUUGUUUCCAUCUCUCCUGGGCUGGACAGGAUUCUGGUUUCCCGAGUAUGGUUAGCGAAUGUAGCGUCAUUUGUUAUUAUUCAGUUCAUUUAUUUCGUGUUUUGUGUUGUUUUCCUUUUUUCCUUCUUCUCUUGGGUUAUCUGCGGAUAACAAUGUAGCCGCUGGGCGCAGAAAGAACAAAAGGAAGAAGACAGACAAGUCACCAGCGGCCCGCCCGGCUUGGUGGAAGCGCCUUCAGUGCUGGUCAUCCUCGGACAUCCCACCCCCUUCUAAAUAGGCUCUCCCUUUCCCAGACACUCGAGAUUCCUUUCCCUUUACCAGCUCCUCACCAAAUACCCUCCCUCAUUUAUGAAGAAAAAAAAAAAGGAAAACCACCAAUGACCCGUACCAAAAGGCCAGAGGACCCAUAGUGGCCCCUCCUCCUGACCCCAAAGCAGCUCCCGAGCCUUCAAACUACCAACGUGCCUCUGAGGACAACGGCCUCCUCUCCUGUCCUCCUGUGGGGCCCGGAGCGGCUGCAGAACGAGGAAAGGGCUUCCCGUGCUGCUUCCAUUUGUCCCGUUAGUGGCAACGCUGCGCCAGCCCUAAGGGUCACCCCCCAUAUGUGGAACUCCUGUCUGACCCUCCAGCCACUGGAAUCUUUUGAACAAAUGCACUUUGGCCUGGGGAUGCUCACAAUGCAAUGACAAACGGACAUCCCAGAGGCUGCCACUAUGGUUAACGGAUUUGACGUAAUGGGUGAAGCCAGACUCAGCUUUGAACAAAGGAGAUGUAUCCUCUGGACUUGCUUCUGGGGACACACAAAGGAUGAGGUGUCUGGUACAGAACGGGCCACAGUGCAGGCACCGAGGCCGCUGUGGAGAGAGGAUGCGCACAGACAGAACGCAGUGGCUCUCGGUGUUUGCGAUUCCAUUGCAUCCUCAGCAGCAGCGCCAGAACUGAGGCAAGCGAUGGAGGCGCCAACACCAAGAACCAUUCCUGCAGUGGGUGUGUGUGCAUAUCUCUCUCCAUAGCUGCCCUGGAUUCCUCACCGUUGUCUGUUGUCUGCCGUCGACUUUUAUCUUUUAUGUGUCCCCAUAAAAAGCCUAGUGCAGAAAUUUUCUUUAUUCAAAGCUCAGUCUGGCUUCACCCAUUUCUUCAAAUGAGUUAAACUUAAAAAGGUGAAAAUUCAGUGAAUUGUCAGCUGUUAAAGUAUGUGCACAUUUUUUUGGAACUCUACCAUCCGUUCCAUUGGAGUCAUUCUCUUCCACCAGAGUCGCACCUGUGUGUACAUUUUGGGUGACGCCCUAUAUGUUCAAAAGGCAGCCAUUCUAUUCCUUCGUGAGUUGAUUUAUUAUUUCUUUUCACUGUGUGCACAUUUUUUGGACCACCCUAUAUUUACAUUCCAUAGGGAGUCAUUCAUGUUUAUCGGAAGUCUGACCUCUGUGUACCAUUCUUGGGGGACACUCCAUGUUUAUAUUCCAUAGAGAGUCAUUCAUGUUAAUCAGGAGUCUGAUCUGUGUACCAUUCUUGGGGGACACUCCAUGUUUAUAUUCCAUACGGAGUUAUUCAUGUUUAUCGGGAGUCCGACCUGUGUACCAUUCUUGGGGGACACUCCAUGUUUAUAUUCCAUACGGAGUUAUUCAUGUUUAUCGGGA